UGGCGGACGGGUGAGUAACGCGUGGGUAACCUGCCUCAUACAGGGGGAUAACAGUUAGAAAUGACUGCCAAUACCGCAUAAGACCACAGCACCGCAUGGUGCAGGGGUAAAAACUCCGGUGGUAUGAGAUGGACCCGCGUCUGAUUAGGUAGUUGGUGGGGUAACGGCUUACCAAGCCGACGAUCAGUAGCCGACCUGAGAGGGUGACCGGCCACAUUGGGACUGAGACACGGCCCAA
rnacentral:rRNA from 1 species